UGGAGUCAUCCUCACACAUGUCACACACAGACAUGAGUGCUUCUAAUCUGAUCCUGGGGUUCCUGCUACUCUGGUUUACAGGUGCAAGAUGUGAAAUCAAAAUGACACAGUCUCCUGCCUCCCUAACUGCAUCUCUGGGAGAAAGUGUCACAAUUACAUGCCAGGCAAGUCAGGACAUAAACUGGUAUUUAUCAUGGUAUCAGCAGAAACCAGGAAAAUCUCCCAAGCUCCUCAUAUAUGGUGCAGAUGCCUUGGAAGAUGGGAUCCCAUCAAGGUUCAGUGGCAGUGGAUCUGGCACACAGUAUUCUCUCAACAUCAACAGCCUGCAGCCUGAAGAUGUUGCAAGCUAUUACUGUCAACAGUAUGAAAAUACUCCUCCCACAGUGAUUCAAGCCAUGACAUAA